AAGAAUUUGAUCCUGGCUCAGGAUGAACGCUGGCGGCGUGCCUAAUACAUGCAAGUCGAACGAGUUCUCGUUGAUGAUCGGUGCUUGCACCGAGAUUCAACAUGGAACGAGUGGCGGACGGGUGAGUAACACGUGGGUAACCUGCCCUUAAGUGGGGGAUAACAUUUGGAAACAGAUGCUAAUACCGCAUAGAUCCAAGAACCGCAUGGUUCUUGGCUGAAAGAUGGCGUAAGCUAUCGCUUUUGGAUGGACCCGCGGCGUAUUAGCUAGUUGGUGAGGUAAUGGCUCACCAAGGCGAUGAUACGUAGCCGAACUGAGAGGUUGAUCGGCCACAUUGGGACUGAGACACGGCCCAAACUCCUACGGGAGGCAGCAGUAGGGAAUCUUCCACAAUGGACGCAAGUCUGAUGGAGCAACGCCGCGUGAGUGAAGAAGGCUUUCGGGUCGUAAAACUCUGUUGUUGGAGAAGAAUGGUCGGCAGAGUAACUGUUGUCGGCGUGACGGUAUCCAACCAGAAAGCCACGGCUAACUACGUGCCAGCAGCCGCGU
rnacentral:rRNA from 2 species